rnacentral:rRNA from 1 species
AUUGAACGCUGGCGGCAGGCCUAACACAUGCAAGUCGAACGAGUGGCGGACGGGUGAGUAAUGUCUGGGAAACUGCCUGAUGGCGGGGGAUAACUACUGGAAACGGUAGCUAAUAACGCAUACCAUCGGAUGUGCCCAGAUGGGAUUAGCUUUUUGGUGGGGUAACGGCUCACCAAGGCGACGAUCCCUAGCUGGGCUGAGAGGAUGACCAGCCACACUGGAACAGAGACACGGUCCAGAGGCCUAGGGGAGGCAGCAGGGGGGAAUAUGGCACAAUGGGCGCAAGCCUGAUGCAGCCGUGCCGCGUGUAUGAAGAAGGCCUGCGGGUUGUAAAGUACUUUCAGCGGGGAGGCGUUACCCGCAGAAGAAGCACCGGCUAACUCCGUGCCAGCAGCCGCGGUAAUAC